rnacentral:rRNA from 1 species
UACGUAGGGUCCGAGCGUUGUCCGGAAUUACUGGGCGUAAAGCGUGCGCAGGCGGCCUUCCAAGCGGCAUGUGAAAGCCCCGGGCUUAACCCGGGAGGGUCAUGGCGAACUGGGGGGCUUGAGGCCGGUAGAGGUGGGUGGAACUCCUGGUGGAGUGGUGAAAUGCGUAGAGAUCAGGAAGAACACCCGUGGCGAAGGCGGCCCACUGGGCCGGUACUGACGCUGAGGCACGAAGGCGUGGGGAGCGAACGGG